GACGAACGCUGGCGGCGUGCUUAACACAUGCAAGUCGAGCGGUAAGGCCCUUUCGGGGGUACACGAGCGGCGAACGGGUGAGUAACACGUGGGUGACCUGCCCUUAGCUCUGGGAUAAGCCUGGGAAACUGGGUCUAAUACCGGAUAUGACUCCAUGACGCAUGUUGGUGGGGUGGAAAGCCUUGUGCGGCUAGGGAUGGGCCCGCGGCCUAUCAGCUUGUUGGUGGGGUGAUGGCCUACCAAGGCGACGACGGGUAGCCGGCCUGAGAGGGCGACCGGCCACACUGGGACUGAGACACGGCCCAGACUCCUACGGGAGGCAGCAGUGGGGAAUCUUGCGCAAUGGGCGAAAGCCUGACGCAGCGACGCCGCGUGGGGA
rnacentral:rRNA from 1 species